AAGACCGAGGAGCGCUGGAGGAAGAAUCCGCUUGGCAGGCUGGGUCGGAAAACAGUUCAACGGUGCUCAUACAAU
rnacentral:ncRNA from 2 species